rnacentral:piRNA from 1 species
UAACAUGAGCUUAUAUGUCUAAAUCGUAAA